UCCAGUAAUGCCUCUGUGCCUUAGAGUAGGUUUUAACUGUCCACCUUUGUGUACCAAACUCAACCAGCAUUUAUUACCAAAUUCAAUGCAUAACGGCUAAAUUUGACGAUUUGAAAAUCUUACCAGGUAGAAAUCCCAAUAUUACUUGAUUCUGGUUGUCAGUGUGACAUUAUUACUCAUGGAUCCCAGCCCUCGUCCAGUGGGCCUUCAAAGGACUUCAUUCCUUUUCCUAUCUGCUUUCACUGCACUUAGCUGUGUACCGGCAUCUACCUUGGAUGUGUCGUUGGUACAGGUUUACCUGUGGGGAGAUCAAACUCCAACCAGUCUGACCCUGGCUGGUCCCGCAUUCACCAAAGCCGUGGAAGAUUUGGCUCCGUACAAGACACUAAUGAAUAUAACCAGAAUCCUGUUGUUUACACGCAAUGUAACCACCUGCGACAUGAUGGACAAGGAAGCAGCAUUGUGGGCUACGAAAUAUCACGAUAAGAUCGCUACCGGCAACCCUGUUAUGGGAAUCUUUGGACCCGGGUGUCCCGCAACUGCGGCGUCUGUUGCACAGUUAGCGACAAAAUGGAAUAUCCCGAUGACAAUUGGCAUAUCGGGAGACGCCGCUCUUGCUAACAAAAGACGUUUUCCCACACUGACCAGGCUUGCUCCAUUCUUUCCGGAAGAUCUGACUCGCUUCGUAUACAACGUAUUGCAAAAAUUUAAUUAUAGCACGGUGGGAUUUCUGUGUGAUGAUAGAGACGACACUUUAGCGAUCUACGGGCCAAUAUGCAAAGUGGCAUUUGACAAUCUCCGGCUUUUUUUACCUCUUUUCAGCUAGCCGAUUUUAUGUGAAUGCCUUGAACAGGACGAACGUUGAAACACUAUCUGGAUGAGUUAAAGACAGUAACUCGAGGUACAUUUUACAUUCGAACUAUUCCCAAGCGCCAGAUAUUUUGGCAAAAUAACAUGGAACACGGGAGACAGCGAUAAACGUGAUGCGAAAAAUGAAUGCUAAUUUUGGAAAGCUGCAAUAAUGAACUUUCGCGGCUUUACCAAUUAGGAUGCCCGCACCGCUUUUCGCUCGCUCUUCAUUAUGUCUUUGCGCGACCCAGUCGCCACGCCGGAAUUCAAGAAUCAUACUGACGAAAUAAAGCGUCAGUCUAAUGCGAUUUAUGGCUAUACAUAU